rnacentral:lncRNA from 1 species
CGCGCCCCGCGCGCCCGCCGCCGCCCGCCGCCGCCCCCGCCGCCUGCGCCUCCUCCCGGCGCCGCGCGGCCGGACCGCCGGCCUCCUCCUCAUCCUCCCGCGUCCUCCCCGGCCCGCGCCGCCGCCGCCGGAGUCCGCAUCCUCCGCCUCCCGCGCCGGGAGCCGCUGCGGCGCAGGACCGCGGGGCGCGCGCCCCCUCCCCAGCCCGCCGCGCCCCUCCCCGCCCCUCCCCGCCCCUCCCCUCCCCGCCGCCCCGCGCGCCGGGCCCGGCGCCGCCCUCCCCCGCCGCAGCCCCCGCGGCCCGGGACGCCCCUCCGCCGCCUCCCCGGGGAGAAGCGCCCCCCGCGUCUCCCCGCCUCCCGCCCCGUACCCCGGCCGCCCGGCCCCCCGCGCAGGGCGCCCCCCGGGCCCGCCCCCCGGGCCCUCCCACCUCCCGGGCCCCUAAGCCUGCGCCUCCCCGGCGACCGGCCCACGCCCGCCGCCCGCCCGCGGCCUGGAAGCCGGAGGGACUCAGCCUGCGGGCGCGGGAGAGGAGGGGGGAGCCCGGUGCCGGCGGGGCGGGGAGCCGGGGCGCAGGACGGCGGAGGCGGAGGACGCAGGAAGGGAGAGCCCGGGUGGGGCGGGGGCGGGGGCGAGGGGAGCCGGGGAAGGGCUGGGCCUGCGUGGGGGGGGCGGCGGCGGUGCGGGAGGCCGGGCCCGGGGCCGGGGGAGGGGAGUCCCGGCGCGCGGGGUGCCGGGGAGGAGCCGCGGAGGCCUCAGGCGCAGCCUCGCACGAAGCCCCUGCGGACCUCAGUCAGAACAGCCCUCCCGGGGCUCGGGCGCGUGACAGAGUCUAAGUAUCUGGUUCUGCUCAUUGGAAGAAUGCACCAGGCCAGCAGGCAGAGGAGGCACCCACCUGGUGUUGAGGGACCAGUGUAG